GGUUAAUGGUCCCCUGUACCAUCCCCAUCCUGAGUGACUACUGAGCAGCCGCAGGGACUCGGGGUUGCUCCGUGACCAGGUUACUCAGUUACCUUCUUGUUCCUUGGAGAGGCGGAGCUGAAUGGCCCGUGUCGGCCAUCGGACCCCAAGUCUCCAGCCGUGUUAUCUGCAGACUGUGAUUGUAUGUGCCAAGCUGACUAAAGUCAGAGAUUCCCCUGCUGACCUUGAAAAAGCAAGUCACCAUGAAUUCAACAGGUGCAAAGAAAUGACUUCUGUCAACAAUCAGGUGACUUUGGAAGAGGUUUCUGAGCCUCAGACUGGCCAACACUUUGAAGCCUUGUGAGAAUCUGACCAUCCAACUAAGCCUUGCCCUGACUCCUGACCCAUGGAAACUGUGAGAUAAUAAAUGUAUGUUGUUUUAAGCUAUUAUGUUUGGGAUAAUUUCUUACAUCAUAGACAACUAUUGCAGCCGUGUAGUUAUUCUUUUAAAAAUUAAUAUGAACUAUUUCAAAUAUAUAGAAAGUAAUACAGAAUAGUAUAAAUGGUAUCAUGUAUACAGUAUGAAGAAAUAGAGUAUUACAAGUAAUGUUGAAACUUGUUGUGUAGCCUCUUCUAAUUCUGCUUUUCUUAAUUCUUUCUGAGAAGCAACCCACUGUAAUGAAGGUGUUGAUUAGCAUUUAUGUGCAUUUUUUAGAACAGUAUUUUGCUAUAUAUGUGUACGUCUAAAAGCAACAUAUCAUUUAUUUCUGUUUGAUUUUUCCUCUACUAGAAAUAGAUUAAAACCCUUUCAUUAGGAUUGCUUCCUGUUAAUUUUUCUUUGUAUCAUCAUCCAGUUUUAUAUUAUGAAUUUUAACAACAUUUUGUUACUUGCUGUGACAGAGACAUUUAAUAUUACUGAAUAAGCAUGUGCUUCAUCACAUCUGCCAGCUCCCUAAACAGUUGAGUCAUGCCAUGUGACAAGUUCUGGCCAACUGCUUGGCAAUUGGCAACCAAGGAAGCUGUAUGUUGAGAUGUUUGAACCACAAGUUUGAAACUGCUGGGGCUUAUCGGGGGAAACCCCACCCCCGAUAUUUAACAUGGGUUCUUUUCUAUUUCCCUAAGCAUCUUGGCUGGUCUGAGAAAUAAAGGGAAAGAGUACAAAAGAGAGAAA